GAUGAAGAACGCAGUGAAAUGCGAUAAGUAAUGCGAAUUGCAGAAUUUCCGUGAAUCAUCGAAUCUUUGAACGCACAUUGCGCCCCCUGGCAUUCCGGGGGGCAUGCCUGUCCGAGCGUCAUUUCUGCCCUCAAGCACGGCUUGUGUGUUGGGUGUGGUCCCCCCGGGGACCUGCCCGAAAGGCAGCGGCGACGUCCGUCUGGUCCUCGAGCGUAUGGGGCUCUGUCACUCGCUCGGGAAGGACCUGCGGGGGUUGGUCACCACCAUGUUUUACCACGGUUGACCUCGGAUCAGGUAGGAGUUACCCGCUGAACUUAAGCAUAUCAAUAAGCGGAGGA
rnacentral:misc_RNA from 1 species